CUUGUGGGCCAUCUGUAUAUUUUCAGUGGAGGAAUGUGCAUUUAAGUUCUUUGGCCACUUUUAAACCAGGUUAUUUUUUUUUUCAAUUUUUAAUUUAAAAAAUGUUUAUUUUAUUUAUUUUGAGAGGGAGAGAGAGAGCAUGAGAGAAUCCCAAGCGGGCUCUGCAUUGCUGGCGCGGGGCUUGAUCUCAUGAACCAUGAGGUCAUGACCCCAGUUGAAACUGAGAGUCAGACGUUCAACUAACUGAGCCACCCAGGUGCCCCAGGUUAUUUGUUUUUAAUUGUUGAGCUGUAGGAGUUCUUUCUAUAUUCUGGAUAUUAACGUUUUAUCAAAGAUAUGAUUUGCAGAUAUUUUCUCCCAUUCCUUAGCUUGCCUUUUCACUCUGCUUAUUGUUUCCUCUGACAUACAGAUAUUUUUAAGUUUGAUGUAGUCCCAUUUGUCUAUUUUUGCUUUUGUUGCCUGGCAAGAGAGGGUUUUACAUAAUGUAACAUAAUCAUGGGAGUGACAUCUUAUCGCCCUAACCACAUUCUCUUGAUUAAAAGCAAGUCACAGGUCCUAGCAAUAUACACGUGGAGAGGAUCACACAAAGGGGUGAACACCAGGAGGCAGGAUCAUGGGGGCCACCUUAAGGUCUGUCUGCACGCAAAGGACUGAUAAGUAGGACUCUGCUGUGUGAAUCACAAACACCUACAACUGAGACAAACACACAAUCAACUUGCUAGGAGAUCCAUGCCACUUAAGAGGCUGCAGGCAGCUGCCCCCAUCCAGACUUCUUCACGGGAGAAUUCCAGAGGCCACAGAACUUCACAUUCAUGGGGGAUUCCCCUCUGAACGUCUUGUCAACAGAGCACACACUCCUAAUCUGACAGGAGGAGUGGGUUUUCCUAUCCAGGCAGGUGACAUAGAGAAUGCCAGCCUAUUGACAUGAAGCCAAAGGGCAGUUGGCUCAGAUCAUUCUCUUAUUCAUUGACCUUUGUCAUGAAGCUUUGACCUUCCUCAUGAAUAAUCACUGUGAUGUGAUUCAGUUAACAUUUGCCAACCAAUGAGGCCUUCCCGGUGAUCACAGAAUCAGGAGUCAUCACAGAGGUUGGAUUAAUCCAAUUCAUUGAAAAUUCUCUUCAACAUGUCCAAGAAUCCCAGUGAACCCCAAGGUGCGUAAACACAAACCACACCAAGGCACUACACAAUUAAAUUUCUGAAAAGCAGGGAUAAAGACAAAAUCUUAAAGAUGAGACUAAUCACUGGUUUGUCAUCAAAAACAAUGCAAACCAGAAGAUAUUGGGAACAUCUUUAUUUUUUUAAAGUUUAUUUAUUUAUUUUGAGAAAAAGAUUGCAUGGGAGGAGCAGAGAGCGAGAGAGAGAGAAUCCCAAGCAGGCUCUGUACUGUCAGUGCGGAGCCCGACACGGAACUCAAACUCAUGAACUGUGAGAUCAUGACCUGUGCUGAAAGCAAGAGUUGGAUGCUUAACUGACUGAGCCACCCAGGUGCCACAGAACAACAUCUUUAAAGCAUUAAAAGAAAAACGCUGUCAACUUCCAAUUUUAUAUCCAGUGAAAAUGAAAAUGUUCUUCAAAGAUGAAGGCAAAAUAAAGACAUUUCAGUUAAGCCAAAGCCAAGAGAAUGCAUCGCUAGUGAGUUUACACUACAAGGAAUGCUAAGGGAAGUUCUUCAGGCUGAAGGAAAAGGAUACCAGAUGGACACAGGGGUUUACACAAAGGAAUGAAGAGUAAAUAUGGUCCCACCCACACUGAAGAAAAGUGACAUGGAUACAAGACAUAGAUAUCAGGGAGUGGGAAUCUUGAUAUUCUGCCUACUGCAAGCCCUGAAUGAGAUGCCUCUGAAUGGCUCUGUGCCUCUCUUAGGGAAAAUAGAUGAGGCCAAACAGAAGCCGUAUGUGGUGACCUGUGCGAUGCGUUAGUUACUUAUAUAAACUGAACGAAGCAGUCUAACAAUCCUGUAAAUAUCACACAUAAAGAUGAACCAGCUAGUGUCAUGUCGGUAUUUCUAAAGAUAAAGUAAAUCAGUACUACUGGCACCAUCCGGUUUUUGUGUGGUCCCAUCUCCAAAAAGCACGAAAUACAAAUUUAUACCCAAAAACGUGUUUUAUGAAUUCAAAUCACCAGCAUGAUUUUAGCAUGUAUGAAAUGUACAAAUCCUUAUUGUAAAGUAAGUUUUGAAAGCUUGCAUGUACUGUGAAGCAUGAGCUUUUGCUAAGAGAGUGAAAUAUGUUUACGGCUUUGUUGCCUUCAUGGUUGUGUAUCCCGGUGCAGCUAUAAUUGUGUCACAGGUACUUGUUGCCUUUCCUUGCCCCAGGAGCAGCAGAAUUAGCUUCUACACUGGCCCAGCUAAACAGGCUACCCUGAGGACUAACAGGAGGCUCUAUUUCCCAGCUGGGAUGGUAGCCCCUGAGGUGGGGUUAAGGUGGGUGGGCAAGAGAAUGGAGGGAAAUAGGGUGCAGAGUGAGGAAUAAAUGUAAGAGAACUGAGUCUUUUGGCACAAGUGGAUUAAAUGGGAGAGAGGGUGGGCAUGACAGGAUGAAGAAUGAACAGAAGGUUAGGCAUUGGUAGGAGAGACACCAUUGAAAUUGUACUGUUUAAGCCCUCUUUUGUUGAAAGAGGCACUUUUAUUGAAGAUGACACCCUGAAAUGAAGACGUCCUAUCCUAAAGAGGCCCUCUGAUCCCAUGUCACUAAUAGUAUGACAUAUUUUAAAUAUUUGCUAUUUAAAAAAAAGUUUAUUUAUUUAUUUGAGAGAGAGAGAGAGAGAGAGAGAGAGAGAGAGAGAGAGAGAGAGAAUCCUAAGUAGGCUGUGCACUGCCAGCACAGAGCCUGACAUGGAGCUCCAACCCACAAACUGUGAGAUCAUGACCUGAGCUGGCAUCAAGAGUCAGAUGCUUAACCAACUGAGCCCCCCAGGCACCCCAAAUAUUAAGCAAGAGGAAAUUUGUUAGAGGAAAAGGAGAGCAUUAAAGAUAAGAAAGUUUCAACAC